rnacentral:rRNA from 1 species
GACGAACGCUGGCGGCGUGCUUAACACAUGCAAGUCGAACGGUAAGGCCCUGCUUUUGUGGGAUGCUCGAGUGGCGAACGGGUGAGUAACACGUGAGUAACCUGCCCUUGACUUUGGGAUAACUUCAGGAAACUGGGGCUAAUACCGGAUAGGAGCUCCUGCUGCAUGGUGGGGGUUGGAAAGUUUCGGCGGUUGGUGAUUGACUCGCGGCUUAUCAGCUUGUUGGUGGGGUAGUGGCUUACCAAGGCUUUGACGGGUAGCCGGCCUGAGAGGGUGACCGGCCACAUUGGGACUGAGAUACGGCCCAGACUCCUACGGGAGGCAGCAGUGGGGAAUAGUGCACAAUGGGCGGAAGCCGGAUGCAGCAACGCCGCGUGCGGGAUGACGGCCUUCGGGUUGUAACCCGCUUUCGCCUGUGACGAAGCGUGAGUGACGGUAAUGGGUAAAGAAGCACCGGCUAACUACGUG